CUUCUGCUAUCUUUUUUGAAGCAAUAUACCAGAGUUCAGAGCCUUCUCAACUCAAACCCAAUAUUCAGUUUUGCUUCUGGAAUUCCCAGGACUCUGAAAACUAAUGCUAGUGAAAUGAUUAGGAAAGCAGGUGAGGGAUGUAGAUGAAGGGAACACAUCAUAGUUAUUCAGUGAAACAACAAUCAGAUACAUAACCAGAAAAAACAAAAAACCUCAACAACUCUUGUAACAUAUUGUCUCUUAGUUACUCUGAAGAGAAAAGAAAGGACAGUCAAGAAAAACAAGUUUUAAUUGGAUGAUUCUGUUGUUCCAAGGACCAGUGCUGUGCACAGACCCAUUUUAAAAUCUCUGAUGAUAACAACGGGAAAGGAUGCUUGAGAGACUUGCACAACAGCACAUUUAGGGAGGCAACUGGAAAAUGAUUUCUUUGUGACACAUAAAAAAUACUGAAGACUAUUGGUGGCUUUUAUACAUUUUUUGACAAAUCAUGCAAGGAUGAGCAGGAAAAAAGAGCCACCCAGAUAUUUAUGAGGAAAUACCUACAUAUCAAUUGGGUGCCAGGAGCUGGAUGAAAAAUGAACCCAGGAUUCUCAGAAAGAACUUGGUGUAACCAUGUACCGAGACAGAGAAGUUGCUUAAAAAAUCCUCAUGGAUUUCUUCUUCCACCAAGGCCUGAAACUCCCUGAUGACUUUAUGGAAUGCAUCCUUUUCCAUUGUCCAUUUGGAGGUAUCAGUCACAACCGCAGGUUUUAGUAGAUUAUUGGGCUGACCCACUUCUUUUUUCUAUGCUCUUUCCCUUUGUUGUCGUGUUCUCUUGGAUGCUUCCAGUUUAGCCCCAUACCCUUCCUUAAACAUCUCAAAUUAAAAGGUCUAUUGUAUCAAUA